GGAGUUGUAGCUCAGUGGUAGAGUGCCUACCUGGCAUGUGUGAGGCACUGGGUUCAAUUCUCAGCACCA
rnacentral:tRNA from 1 species